AAUACUAGAGGGCUGAAUUAUAUCUUUAGUGGCUGUAAAGAUAGUUUGGCGGAUAAAUUUAAUUAUCUAUUUUUAAAUGGGAAGGUGAAAUUUUCAUUUUAAAUUAUUAUUUAAUGGUAAUAUUAGUGUGUUGAUUCUAUUAUAUUUUUGUGAGAGACUGGGAUUAGAUACCCCAUUAUUCUUAAACUUAAAUUGUUUUAACUGCCGGAGUACUACGAGUAAAUACUUAAAACUUAAAAAACUUGGCGGUGCUUUAAAUUUUUUAGGGGAACUUGUCUCGUAAUCGAUAAUCCACGUUAUAUCUGUUUUAAGCUUGUGGUCUGCUUGUAUACCGUCGUUUAGUUAAUUUUAGAGAAAAUAGAAGUUAGCGAUGUAGAUUAAGUAAGUCUAAAUGUCAGAUCAAGGUGCAGUUUAUGCUUGAAUGAGGAUGAGUUACAAUUAUAAAAUUUAUAACAGAUAAUUUAUUGAAAUAUAGAUUUAAAGCUGGACUUAAAAGUAAGUUUACGUAUAAAAAUAUAUUGAAUUUUAUUUAAAGCGUGU
rnacentral:rRNA from 1 species